AUUGAACGCUGGCGGCAGGCUUAAUACAUGCACGUCGAACGAGUGGCGGACGGGUGAGUAAUGCUUGGGAAUCUGGCUUAUGGAGGGGGAUAACGACUGGAAACUGUCGCUAAUACCGCGUACCAUAGGAUGAGCCUACGUGGCAUUAGGUAGUUGGUGGGGUAAUGGACUGCCAGGCCGACGAUCUCUAGCUGGUCUGCGAGGAUGACCGGCCAGACCGGGCAUGAGACACGGCACGGACUCCUACGGGCGGCAGCAUUGGGGAAUAUUGCGCAAUGGGGGCAACCUGACGCAGCCAUGCCGGGUGAGUGAAUAAGGCCUUCGGGUUGUAAAGUUCUUUCGGUGACGAGGCGUAAAUCACAGAAGAAGCACCGGAUAACUCCGUGCCAGCAGCCGCGGUAAUUA
rnacentral:rRNA from 1 species